rnacentral:rRNA from 1 species
UACAGAGGUCCCCGAGCGUUGUUCGGAUUCACUGGGCGUAAAGGGUGCGUAGGUGGCUUGGCAAGUCUGAUGUGAAAUCUCCGGGCUCAACCCGGAAAUGGCAUUAGAAACUGCGGAGCUGGAGGCUUGGAGAGGGAAGCGGAAUUCCCGGUGUAGUGGUGAAAUGCGUAGAUAUCGGGAGGAACACCGGUGGCGAAGGCGGCAUCCUGGACCGGCAUUGACGCUGAGGCGCGAAAGCCAGGGGAGCAAACGGGAUUAGAUACCC